UGGUCCAGCCAAAAACUGUGACAGAGAGACAGUGUCAUCUUCUACAGUACAUGUACAGCAGCCAGUGCUACACAGCUGUCCUUUUAGAAAAUACCGUAGUUGCUUUUCAACAAUGGAAGAAAUCUAUGUCAAUGCUGAAGACAUGAAAUAUAUUGAUACCAAACACUCAACAAUUCAGACAAGUAAGAAUAUUCAGUCAGACAGAGAGGCUGACAGACUGAGCUGUGAAUAGUAUGUUUUAAUUGUAUGAUUGAUUGGAUUCACUGGUCUUUUCUCUGUUCAGGUCCAAAGACUUCAGAGAGGAGAUUUCAUGGAGCUCUUCUUGUCUUUCUGGGGCUGCUGAGUGUUUUCCUGCUGGCUGGACUCAUCGGCCUCGGCGUCUACUAGUGAGUGAAGGAAUCAGGAGAGAGGAGACAGAAGUGAGGAAGCAGGAUGUAAAGUUAAAGGUGUUGAAAGA